GUACAGACUGCUGCCCCCGGCGGCUGGCUAGGUCUCUCUGUGUUUGGAUGGAUGUGUGCACCAUGGAGGUCAGAGAACAAUCUUGUGGAGUUGGUUAUCUUCUUACACCUUCUCAUGGAUUCUGGGUGGAGUAUUGAACCAGCUUACCCUGAAAGCAUCUUCACGAAUCCCGAAGAAGUAGGCUCCAAUGCCAGUGAAGGAAUGGAUUGCUAGCAAGGAGAAGACAAGCAUACAAAGAGCAAAAGCUUCCUUCUUCCAUGUCCUUAUAAUGGCUUCCAGCAGAAGGUGUGGCCCAGAUUAAACCUUCUUGACUCAAGAUCUGGAUUAAAGGCAUAUGUCCUCUCAGGACCCAGGUCAAAAGCUUGUGUCUUCUUGCCUCAAAGGUCCGAAAGAGAAGUGGAUUCACCUACUUCAGACCAAGCAGAAAAUUUCUCACAGUUGUGGUCAAUUUGACAGCCAAGAACAACUAUCACAAGUCUCUUGAUAUAAAACUACUAAGGAGAUUCCCCCAAAGUAGACUUAAUGGAACUUCAUUUUCAGUUUUCCAGGGGGGCACUGCCAAUUAAUUCAGUUGUAUGCUUGAUGCUCUAGUACUACACACGGCAAAAGCCUUUUCUAAGCCUAAGGCAUGCUAGCUAUGGGCUCACAAGCAAGUAAGUGUCUCAUCAGUCAGGUAACCACAUGUGAUUCAGCUGAAGUUGCCCCCAGGGACUCCUCAGACACUCUUCUCCAGACACUGGUGGAGUUUUGGAGCAUCCUCAGGCUUUCAUGGAAUCUGAGAGGUGGUGGUGCAUGCUUUUAAUCCCAACACGUGGGAGGCAGAGGUAGGUGGGUCUCUGAGUCCAAGGCCAGUAUGGUCUAUGGAGGACAACCAGAGCUACACAAAGAAAGCCUGUCUCAAAACAAACAAACAAACAAACAACAGCAAACCAAAACAAAAAUCCAUAAAACAAAUGAACAAUAAGAGGAAUCUGAGCAACUACUGGGUUAGGAAUGUACAUUUUUGUUAGAAUUGUAAAGUCAAUUUGAGAUGCUUUAGUACGUUUGGUUAUUAUUUGUAGGUUUCUCACUAUAUAUUACCAUAGUGUGGCUAUAUCUUCUGAUUCAUAUAUGAAUCUAAUGUGAACAUACUCAGAGGCACAGCCUCCAGGAAGGGACCAUACCAUCAGAGCAGGACCCAUGGACAGAAUCUGUCUUUGUAAGAUGGGUGAGCAAGUGGAUUCUCACCCUCCUCUUCACAGAACAUACCCAACACAGUUUAUGUCUUUAUGGGACCCAGCACUGUCCUCACACAGUAUAUGUCCACAUGCCUCAACAUAGUACAUGUACACAUGGUGCACACAGCAUAUGUCCACUUGCGGCACAGCACUGGCCCCACACACCACAUAUGUCCUUAUAGUGCCCCCUGGGCAGAGAAAGGGCUUCAUCAGACAUUGAACUCCCUGACACACUGAUUUAAAAGCCAUGUCUUUGAAAUGGUGAGAAAUCCAUACAUUUGUGAUGUGUAUGAAUCGCACAGUAUUCUAUUACAGUAGCAAAUAAAACAUGUGAU